UACGGAAGGCAGCAGUGGGGAAUAUUGCACAAUGGGCGCAAGCCUGAUGCAGCCAUGCCGCGUGUAUGAAAAAGGCCUUCGGGUUGUAAAGUACUUUCAGUCGUGAGGAAGGUGUUAAGGUUAAUAACCUUAGCAAUUGACGUUAGCGACAGAAGAAGCACCGGCUAACUCCGUGCCAGCAGCCGCGGUAAUACGGAGGGUGCGAGCGUUAAUCGGAAUUACUGGGCGUAAAGGGCACGCAGGCGGUUAAUUAAGUUGGAUGUGAAAUCCCCGGGCUUAACCUGGGAAUGGCAUUCAAGACUGGUUAGCUAGAGUCUUGUAGAGGGGGUAGAAUUCCAUGUGUAGCGGUGAAAUGCGUAGAGAUGUGGAGGAAUACCGGUGGCGAAGGCGGCCCCUGGACAAAGACUGACGCUCAUGUGCGAAAGCGUGGGGAGCAAACAGGGAUUAGAUCC
rnacentral:rRNA from 1 species